UCUUCUACAAGCUCUAGUUUUAUAUUUGGGGUUCAAGUUUAUCACUAAGGUAUAGUAUUUAAUAUAGUGUGAAUUUAGGGGCUAUACUAUAUGAGGUUAUAACUUUUGUUUUGUUUUUGCUUUGUUUUGCAUUUAUCUCUUUGCCAUGUUCUGAAGAAGCCAUAUUGUUGUAAGGUUGAUGAAAAAUGAGGUCAUGGCCUGUUUCAGUAUGAAGUGGGGGAAGGGGAAGCUUGCUUUCACCAAGAUCAAUCUGUACACUGUUGUCACAGAGAGUGUCCAGAAAACAUCAAAAGAGACGGGGCAAAUACUGCAGCAGCCACUGCCUUUUGUUUAAAAUAUGCCCCAGCAGAGCCGUCGCAAGGAGGGUGAGAGGCCCUGUGCAAAGUUGAUGUGCGAGGCCCUCUACAAUUUUGCGUGUAUGUGUGUGUGUGGUGGGGGAGGUUGCUGU